CUGACAGACUUGAUGUAUGCAGGGCCGGCUUUAGGCUUUUAGGCGCCCUGUGCGAGAAAGCUUUACAGCGCCCCUCAGUGACCACAC